UUUUCUUUUCUUCUUUUCUUUCUUUUUCUCUCCUCUCUUUCAGUGGACAGCAGCCCCUCCCCUGUUCCAGCACCCGGUUCCCUCUCCCUUCUUCUCUUCUCCUUCCUCUUCGGUCACGCUCAGCCAGUAGAACCCUUCCCCUUUUCCUUCUUCCUCUCCUCGUUUUUCUCUCGCACCCACAAACCCGCACAGCACUUCCCCUUCCACAUUUUCUCUCCGUCACACACGCCCAUCCCAUGAGUGAGGCCGUGAGGUGCGAUUUUUGGAGUGGGUUGUCGGUGGGUUGGAGCUAAUGAUGCCGGUGAGGCUAGAAGUGGCGAUUUUCAGUGAUUUUCGUGGGUUUUGACUGAUGGAAGGGAAAUCAGAAAUUGAUGAUAUUCCUGUGGUUGCAGGUACUCUUGAGGCGGAUGAUGAUCCGGUAGCUCACUACUUGGGAUACUACGAUUGAAGCCUGUAGCGACAGUCGUAGUGGGAUAGGACUGAGGUGUCCUCAUUUUUGGUACUUUUAUAUAUGGCUUGUGACGUGUGUGUCACACAUUAUUUUGUAUAAGCCAUUCUCUUGUAUUAGUAAUAUGUAGUUAAACUUUAAACAGAUAGAUUUGUGUUAUGGCUCACUUAUGUAUAGAUAACAGGUUCAUUUAUAGUUAUGCUUU